UUACUUAAAAAAUAGGCACAGUCAAUCCAAAUUUAUGGAUAUUUUUAGAACAUCUGUCAGAUAUUAAAAGAAAUCAAGAGAUCGAUUAUUCACGCUUACAAAAUAAUAUAAGUAUUAGAAGAUUGCGCACACGAUUUAACAGAGAUAAAAAUGCAAAAAUUAUACAAGGGCAAAAUGCUCUUACAAAUGGUGAUAUUUCUUUACAACAGUUUUUACGUAUGUUUUCACGGUUUACCCAGCAUCACUCUGAAAUAUUAUUAGAAGACAAUGAUGAUGUAGAAAUAGAUGCAACUCUGCUUUCGGAUGAGAUCCUGGAAGGUAAAAAUUAAUAAU